GUAGGUGGCAAGCGUUGUCCGGAAUUAUUGGGCGUAAAGCGCGCGCAGGCGGUUCUUUAAGUCUGAUGUGAAAGCCCACGGCUCAACCGUGGAGGGUCAUUGGAAACUGGAGAACUUGAGUACAGAAGAGGAAAGCGGAAUUCCACGUGUAGCGGUGAAAUGCGUAGAGAUGUGGAGGAACACCAGUGGCGAAGGCGGCUUUCUGGUCUGUAACUGACGCUGAGGCGCGAAAGCGUGGGGAGCAAACAGGGAUUAGAUACCCGUGGUAGUCCACGCCGUAAACGAUGAGUGCUAAGUGUUAGGGGGUUUCCGCCCCCUUAGUGCUGCAGCUAACGCAUUAAGCACUCCGCCUGGGGAUACGGCCGCAAGGCUG
rnacentral:rRNA from 1 species